GCACAAGCGGUGGAGCAUGUGGUUUAAUUCGAAGCAACGCGAAGAACCUUACCAAAUCUUGACAUCCUUUGCCCCUUCUAGAGAUAGAAGUUUCCCCUUCGGGGGACAAAGUGACAGGUGGUGCAUGGUUGUCGUCAGCUCGUGUCGUGAGAUGUUGGGUUAAGUCCCGCAACGAGCGCAACCCUUAAGCUUAGUUGCCAUCAUUAAGUUGGGCACUCUAAGUUGACUGCCGGUGACAAACCGGAGGAAGGUGGGGAUGACGUCAAAUCAUCAUGCCCCUUAUGAUUUGGGCUACACACGUGCUACAAUGAACAAUACAAAGGGCAGCGAAACCGCGAGGUCAAGCAAAUCCCAUAAAGUUGUUCUCAGUUCGGAUUGUAGUCUGCAACUCGACUACAUGAAGCUGGAAUCGCUAGUAAUCGUAGAUCAGCAUGCUACGGUGAAUACGUUCCCGGGC
rnacentral:rRNA from 1 species